rnacentral:tRNA from 1 species
GGAUGGAUGUCUGAGCGGUUGAAAGAGUCGGUCUUGAAAACCGAAGUAUUGAUAGGAAUACCGGGGGUUCGAAUCCUUCUCCAUCCG